rnacentral:lncRNA from 1 species
UAAUAGUAGUUUGAAUGAAUUUAUUCCUACCUUCAACUUUAAAGAGCAAGAGGACAGUGAAGCUGAUUCAAGAAACAGGCAAUGCCACAAAGGAAGAAAACAAGCCUGUAAGAUGAAAUACUUCUACCUGGUUAAUAAAUACAGAAAUCGAUUCUUCCUCCAUUGAAGUCUAUCUUUUCCAAUGGGACCAAUCCACAUGCAGAUGCAAAGGCACUCAUGUUUGCUCAACAUGUAGAAACAAGAAAAUCACACAGAGCAAGAGUGACAGAAAUGUAAGAUGCUAUGGAAUUAUAAAAGAAUCAUGUUUGACUAAGAUGUUGUAAAUGAACUUCUUGUAACAAAAAAGCCAUUUGAACACAAAUUACUGAGCAUCACUGGUCGGAGAGAUCAUUUAUCACUUCUUAAUAAAUGAUCAGACAAUGACCUCAAACCUACGUAAGUCUAAAACAGGGCUUUGAGUUGCUGCUAAAGUGACAAAUUUGAAAAUCUGAUUCACUGUAAUGAAGAUUGAAAACAUAGGUACAAAAACUGAAUGUGAGAAACUGAGUGACUAGCCCGCUUAUCCAAGACCCUUAAGAGGUCUGUGGUUAUCUGAAGUUAAUCGUGGUCUCUGGUUAUCGGUAAAGGCAUAAAUCAGCUCUCUUUAAAAUAGCUUUCCUAAACUAGGCACAAGUGAUUUUUCAGAUUAAGAUUCAGCAGAAAGCUCAUAAUUUAAGAUAGUACAAAGCAAGAGCUUGUAUGUGGAGAAUUAAUAAAUAAGAAAUGUAGUCACCACAACAACUGUAGUUAUUGGAGUUUUCAGAAUGAGAAUAUAGCAAAAUUUUCUAUGAAAUAUAAAAAGACAGAAAAUUUAAUAUAAGAUAAAUAUAUAAUAAAAACUAUCUGAAAAGAAAAGAGAUUUGGGGAAAAAUUAGAACUUCUACGUAUGAAAAACAUAACUAUUAAAAGCAUACUACAUGUUAAACUGAUGAUUAAAUGCAGUUGAGAAGAUAAUUCAUGAGAUGGAAAAUACAAUUGAACAAAUUAACCCUUAGGGAAUAAAAAUAAAAAUAAAGAAAUUAAAGUAUAUACAAAAAAAUCUGGACAAUAUCAAAUAAGAUAGAAUAAGAAGGUUGAGCAUUCAUCUAAUAAGAAGCUCGUAGGAAGAGACAGAAUGAAUGAGAUAUACUAUUCAAAGAUACAAUGAGUACAAAUUUUUCAAAAAUUUUCUUGGAAUUUUAAUGAAUAUCAAGCAGAAUAAAACAAAUAAAAUCUUAUGUGAACAUAUUUUGGAGAAAUUUCUAAAGAACAAAUGCAAAGACAAAAACUUAAAAGACUCAGAUAAAAACAUUGAGAGUGAUAAACUUACUAUAACUAGAGAGAUAUAUAGAUGAUAGAUGAUAGAUAGAUAGAGAUGGAUGAUAGAAUGGAAUGACAAUUUAGAGAUUUUAGAAACGUUAAAAAAUGUUAAGUAAAAAUCACUGCCAACAUAAUAUUGUAAACUCGAGAAAAUACAAGAGUGAAAAGCAGAUUUUACAGAUAAAGGAGAGAAAGAGAAAGAUUGCUGAAAAUAGAAUUAUUCAAAGAAUUUUUACAAAAUGCUCUGUAAGAAGAAAAAUCAAGAAAUAUAGUCUUAAUUACAGAAAAUAAUAUAAAUAAAUGCAACCUUAAAUAUGAACAUGCAUAAAUACUAACAUUCUUUCUUGCAAAGAAAAAAAACAACUAAUUUUCUUCCAGGUUUUCAGUUUUGGGUUUGACAUUUAAAACUUUAAUCCAUCUUGAGUUAAAUUUUAUAUGGUUUAAAGAAGGGGUCCAGUUUCAAUCUUCUGCAUAUGGCUAGCCAGUUAUCCCAGCAUACCAUUUAUUGAAUAGGGAAUCCUUUACCUAUUGCUUGUUUUUGUCAGGUUUGUUGAAGAUCAGAAAAUUGUAGGUGUGCAGUCUUAUUUCUGGGUGCUCUAUUCUGUUCCAUUGGUCAAUGUGUCUGUUUUUGUAUCAGUACCAUGCUGUUUGGGUUACUGUAGCCCUGGAGUAUAGCUUGAAGGAGAUCAUUAUCCCUAGCAAACUAACACAGGAACAGAAAACCAAAUACUGCAUGUUAUCACUAAUAAGUGGGAGCUUAAUGAUGGGAACACAUGGACACAUAGAAAGGAACAACAGACACUGGGCCUUUCAGAGGGAGGAAAGAGGGAGAGGAUAAGGAAAAAUAACUAAUGGGUCCUCGGCUUAAUACUUGGGUAAUGAAAUAAUCUGUACAACAAACUCUCAUGAAACAAGUUUACCUAUGAAACAAACCUGCGUUGUACCCCUAAACUUGAAAUAAAAUUUAUAAACAAAUAAACAAAAAGAAAUGAAUGAAAAGAGAAAAAAAAUACUGAGUAAAAAUAAACAGUAGGUGUUUUUAAGGAAUGAGAUUUUUUGUGUUUUUUUCCGUCUUUACAUUUGUUAUUAUUUAAACACUUCCCAAUGAACAUGCACUACUUGUGUAAUAAAUGUAACUAUUAUUCACAUUUAGUUGACUAUGUUUUAAAACUAACCCAGAGUUUAAUUUUGAUAAUGAUUUUUAAAAGGGAAAAUAACAUAAACUUUUUUCUCUCCUCUUUUCUACUGUGAGAGUGAGCAGUAUUUAUCACACAUACACACACGUCAUAUCUGAAUUCCUCAAAAUGUUAAACAAGUUAUUGCUCUAAAAUUGAUAAGAAAUACAUCAAUCUGUGUAUUUGCUGAUAUAUAUAGUGUAUAAUUUUAAAAUUAUUUCUAUAUUUUAUUCACGUGAAAUUUCUUGAUUCAGUUUAAACUGUUAGUUUUAUGAAAUAUAAUCCACAUCCAUCCUUUUAACUACAAUCACCUGUAUGGGCAACAAUGCAUGUAAGCUUAAUGAGAAACGAGUAUGCAUCCAUACCUGUAGGGGUCAGUUAUUAUUUGCUAUUGUACUCUUUUAUUCAAUACACAAUAAUUUUGUCUAGGAAGGCACACUGAAAAUUUAUAAAAUUUCUACUGAAAAGUGUCUAUUUUACUUACAUCACCAUUUUAGAUUUUCUUUGUUCUCUUUCUUUGCAAUUGAUAACAAAAAAAUUACAAUCAAGGCAUAUGAUAUAUGUUUUUUUCUUCUGUUUUUUGGAAUUAUUUUUCCCCACCUCCAGUAUUACAUUAACUCUAACAUAUACACAGAUAUAUACAGCCAUAGCUGGCUUUGAGCUGGGGAAGGUGUCUACCCUGUCCAUCUCCUUCAUCUAGAAUUCUCAUUUGUCAUACAACCGUCAUCGUCUUUGUUCCAUUAAUUGUUUGAAAGAGAUAAUGUCACAAGAUCUCAGAAUCAAGCUACUUUGUCAAUCUUCCUUUAUCUUAUACAUUUGCCUUCUCUCAGAAACAGAAUUUUAAAAUAAUAACAAGACAGCAAAAACUUUUUCUUUAUCCAGUAAUAGAAUUGGCAGUUUCUAUAAUGAAGGGAAUAUUUUCAGAGGAGGAAAUAUGAGGCCAUGCUACCAAUCAAAAUAGCUAAUAAUUAUAUGUAUAUAUGUCUGUAUAAAAUAUAAUUUCAAAUUGUGUGUUUUGGGGAAAUGCUGAGUUUUAAACAGUUUUAAGUUAUAUGCCUAGGCAUAUAAUAAAAAUGUAUCAAUUGAAUACUCAAUAUAAUUUUAGCUCAUGAAAAAUUGUGUUAUAACUGUGGUAACUGUAAAUAAGUUUUCUGCAAGUUAAACAGAGCAAUGAUAUUCCUUAUGUUCCAGUUAGUAGUGCUGUGAACAAGAGAAAGAUUUCUAGUGCAAUUGAAAAUGCUGAAAACAUUUUCAAAAAAUAUUGUUUGUUGUAUUCAGUUUGUUAUAGCAUUAAUAAAUUUUGCUAUUAUCCAACUUCUCUAAAGUACUUUAAAAAUUUCUAUUUCACUAUUUUAAAAAUAUUGUAACAUCUUCUAGUCUCAAGUAUAAAUUAGUAUAAAUUGUAUGUCAGAAAGCAUUGUCUGUCUCUCACUCUGUGUCUAUGUGCCUAAAUAUAUGUAGAUUUCACUCCAUCUCACUAUGCUACACAUAUACAAGAACAUGUAUAUAUUGAUAGAAAGAGAAAAGUACAUUCCUUCAAGUACAAUUAAAUGACUGGCUAUACUUCCUUGGAAGGGUGACUUGCUAACAUUUCCAAGGUUAGAUUUAUAGAUUUGCAAUGAUUUAAUGCAUAAAGUGCAUUUCCUGGAAAAAUUCAAUUAAUUCCAAUAUUCUCAAAAUCCUUCUUUCUGAGACUUAACAUGUAAAUUUUUUCAUGUUGCCAGUUUUUUAAAUAAAAUAAUAAAAGUUAGCUGCAAAUAAAAUGUAUAUUAAAGAUUGUUGGGUAAUUUUUGUAUGCUAAUAUGCAUUGCAGUUCUUAUUUUUCAAACAAAACAUAUUUAGACUCAAACAUACCUGAUAUUAAAUUUUAAACGUACAUUAUCUCUAAAAAUAAAACAAAAACAAAUUUCAAAUAUAUCAACAACAUCAUAUAUAAAAUACUCAGCUUUCAAAGGCUAUUUUGGGGGGAGGAGCCAAGAUGGCCGAAUAGGAACAGCUCGGUCUACAGCUCCAAGCGUGAGCGACGCAGAAGAUGGGUGAUUUCUGCAUUUCCAUCUGAGGUACCGGGUUCAUCUCACUAGGGAGUGCCAGACAGUGGGCGCAGGUCAGUGGGUGCGCCGUGCGCGAGCCGAAGC